GGACCAACAUAUGGAAGAAAAAUGAUGACUGGUUACCUGGCCUCAAAAGGAAUCCGAGCAUCAGAGGGGCGUGUUGGUUGUUGGUUGUGUCCAUAUCAUGCAGAUCGGUAUCGUAGAUAAAGGAAUUUAAAUCCAGUGCCAUACAGUGCAGAGUACAUGGGUCACAAAUUGCACAUUGACCAAAACGAGAAACUGGUGAUGUAUGGGGUGACCCACGUCCUUGCCGUGGACGGAUUCUCCAGCAACAUUAAUCAUAUUAUAGAAAGGAUGUGGCCAGAGGUAAACAACAGGGUAAACUACCCUCUGAAAGGCGCACUCAACCACCUUGUUGACCAGGAGGAACUAAACCUCGAAGACAACAUCACACGAUAUUGUGUGUCCACUCUUACCUGUCAGGUAGCCAACAUUGGACUUGACCGGAUGGUGCAGUCCUGGAAUGCACACAGAAUC